ACUCCCCACCGUUCCAACCCUUCUCUCCCCCGCACCCACACCCGCUCGCCAAACCCUAGCCGCCGCCUUCCCCGCCCCCGCACCAUGGUUGUCGACGGCGAGGAGCCCGAAUUCCCACGCCUCCCUGUCCUCAAGUGGGUCAUGUCCCCCGCCAUGGCCACAGUGGGCCUUCCGGAUCCGCGCCUCCUCGCGCCGCCACCAUCUCCCUGAUCCAGAUCGACGCCACCACCCUCUCAUCCUCAUGCGCCGAGCGCCGCCACCACCCUCUUGCCGCCGCCUCCCAACCCACUUGCCGCCACCUCCUUCCUCCAGCACCAUCUCUCCAACCCCAGCAACGAGUUUGUCCUCAUCUCCGACCCCGCCACCGGCUGCUUCCACUCCGAGGAAGCCGACGCCCUCCUCUUCGUCUCCCCCAUCGACCCCCCUCCUUCUCCACCUCCUUCCACCACCAGAGCCCCACCUCCUCCUUCCUCCAGCUCCAUCGGAGCCUUGCCCCACCCUCGCCUUCUUCCUCCAACGUGGGUGGUUCGGGCCGGUGCGCCCCACUUGCCGGCGCACCCCGCGAUGAUGGUGGGAUCCGGCCACCACUGCCCCCUCGCGAGGCCUCCUCCACCGGAUCCCGGCCGCGAUGGCCAUCAGUGCGGACCCAAAACCGGCGGAUCUGGCAGCCACUGGCCCCCUGACCGGCCUUCUUCCAGAGGCCCUGCGAUGCGCCACCCCACCCGCCCCGCAACCUCCUGCCCGCACCACCCGAUCCAUGGCGGCGCUCUAAGGGUCUGGAUUUCGACGGGGUGGCGGUCGUCCAUGCUACUACCUCCAAUGGUCGAGCACACAGGCGUAUGGUUCCACCUCACCGACUCCAUGGCCCUCCGGGAUGCUUUCCAGUUCCACGGGGCCAACCAAGCAUGACACCUUCAAGUAGAUGCAGUUCUGCCUCCAAUGGCAGAGGGGCGCAGCUGCGUCACCACACUUUCAGAUUCUGACUAGGCAGGCUAAUGGGUUGCAGCAGUAGUAUGCAGGGUUAAUACGGCCAAGGGAAAUGACUACCGUUCCAGGGUCUCCGGUCUGGGAGCUCGUGAAGAAGAACAACUACUUCUUGAUCAAGCAGUUCGGUAACAACAACACCAAGGUGCAGUCGUCCAACAACAACUUGGUUCUGAUUAUCUUCUUAGUGAUGUUGUCUUGUUCUGCUUCUGAAGUAGUACUGUUUUAUCCAAGCCUAGAUCUCCUAUAUACUGUAGUCCUAUCAUGCAAUCUGAUCCUGACACAAAACAUUACUCUGUCUAACCCAUGUCUGAUUUAUAACAUAGUAAUAUUGUGUAGCUUGAUUAUUUGUAAAAUGGCGGGCAAAUGCUGCUGCAGAGAUAUUAGUGGUAUAUGUGCAUGCAUUUGACAAUAUGAUUUCACAUGUGUGUUUGAACAUUAACCAUACAGAUUAUGGUACUGUUAAUUUGGUGCAGUUGAAUGAGUGCUUGAUGCUGAUAUUUUCUUAAAUCAGCAUUAUUUUGUCUUAUAAUAGAUUGAUUUGCACUGUUUUGGUUAAUCAUAGUCCCAUAACCGUAUGUGAUUUCAUUGACUGAGAUGUUGUAGUAGACUUUGUUGCUAGCUAUUUAAGAUCACUUAAGAUAUUAUAUAAACAUCAUAUCUCCCGGGUCGUCUCCAACGCCGUUGACAUGAAGCUCAGGGAUGACCUUGAGAGGCUCAAGAAGAUCAGGUAUAACCUCGCCGUUCCCUGUUCUUUUUCCCCCUUACCAUUGGUUGAUAUAUGGCUAUGUGUUAGAUUCAACUACUGAAGAUGCUUGCACUUCAUAUCAGGACUAGCAGUUUGUAUCUUGCCUGGUAUUAUACAGUUUAAUUUGCUAUUAUUAGCUAGGGUUGUUGAUAGACUUAAUUUUCUGCUGGAAGUCAAAUCUCCUAAACACUAGAAUGCCUGAAAUGUCAGGGUAGCAAGUACUAGCCCUGUGCUUCAUUCUAUGUACCGUUCUGGUGUCUGUGCAUGUAUGGGCUAGCUUUUUGUGUAGAAUAGUGAGUUGAUGCUUCUUUCUACUGAAAUACAGCAUGUGAGCUCUAUGGAUGUUUAUUUACCUGUAACUUCUGCCAGCUCUAUGGAUGGUUAUAUAACAGUUCAACUCAGUCAAAUCUUUGGGGUGUUGAUACACUACUGUGCAAGUUCUAUGGUAUGUGAGUUCCUUCUAUUGCUGCAAGCAUUGACACAAUAUGUCAUGUGCAGGGAGCUCCGCAUCCGAGUCUCGUCCAUCCUCGGCAGCAAGGAGCUGGGCCAAGGGAGCAAGCAGCGCUGCUGGUUACUUGGGGCCAGAUCGAGUAAGAUGACGCACCAUGGCAUGUGGCGGCGUAUUUUGCUUCCAAGAGCAGUAAUGUUUAUUUGAAAUGAGAUGUACUCGUCUACUGCCUAGUAAACAAUACUGCCUAGUACUGUUUAUUUUGCAUCCAAGAGCAGUACUGUUUAUUUUGCUUCCGUGGCGUGUGGCGUCCUAUUUUGAAUGAUUGUCAUGUACUGUGAUGUAGUGAGCUGUAGGAGUGAAAUGAAAUUUUAUCUGCUGUUGUA